GUGAGGAAUAUUGGUCAAUGGACGCGAGUCUGAACCAGCCAAGUAGCGUGAAGGAUGACUGCCCUAUGGGUUGUAAACUUCUUUUAUAAGGGAAUAAAGUGAGGUACGUGUCCCUUUUUGUAUGUACCUUAUGAAUAAGGAUCGGCUAACUCCGUGCCAGCCGCCGCGGUAAUACGGAGGAUCCAAGCGUUAUCCGGAUUUAUUGGGUUUAAAGGGAGCGUCGGUUGACAUAUAAGUCAGCUGUGAAAGUUUACGGCUCAACCGGGAAAUUGCAGUUGAUACUGUAUGACUUGAGUGUACAAGAGGUGUGCGGAAUUCGUGGUGUAGCGGUGAAAUGCUUAGAUAACACGAAGAACUCCAAUUGCGAAGGCAGCUCACUGGGGUACAACUGGCACUGAGGCUCGAAAGUGUGGGUAUCAAACAGGAUUAGAUACCCGAGUAGUCC
rnacentral:rRNA from 1 species